UCUCUCUCUCUCUCUCUCUCUCUCUCUCUCUCUCUCUCUCUCUCUCUCUCUCUCUCUCUCUCUCACACACACACACACACACACACACACACAUAUAUAUUGGAUAGGCAUGCAUUAGGCAAUAAGCUGGUUCCCUUUCUAUGUUAAAUGCUUAAUUUUGGCAAAUUUGUAGAAGAAACCAAAAAGGUAGAAAACCAGAAAUAGAAGUAGUAACUCAUACAACUUAGAGUCGCCGGUUUAAUACAGCUCAAUUGAUUUUCUUGCAUCUUCAUACAUGCUGUUUAAAUUAGAUAUACCAGAUGAAUAUAGGUACUUAGACAUAAAAAAAGAUACUGGCAGUUUGCUGGGAAAGAGAUUAAGGAAUCAUAAGGUUGCCAUACAUAUUAUUUUGCUAUGCUUUGUACCUAAGAUAAUAUCAUAUUAAUUUGGAACCUAAAGAAUAAUCCCCUAUGUUUGCCCAGCAAAAAGCUUCGUGAUAUUAUUAGGAUUGCCACUUUACGGACAAGGCUUUCUGAACUUAUAGGUUAUUUGUUGAUCAUUCAACCCAGAGAUUUGUAGUUCUAAGAAUACAGCUUCUAGUAGAGGGUAAAAAAGAAAUGAACUUAACUAAAUCAUCUUUCAGAUGACACAAUACAUAUCAAGUUGUGCUUAAAAGCAAAGCUAACAGCAGAAGGUGCUUAAGCUAUGUAUAUACACCUUUUUAUAUGUCAAUUGUACAUCUCCUUGUGUAUGGAGACAUUAAUCAAUUUCUGAUGAAAAGCUAGGACAAACAGAUAUAUUUAUAUGAAUAUCAUUGAUUCUGCCAACAUCUCUUGAGAGCUAUACCAUUAGAUGCAUUUUUAAAUAAAAAUAUUGAUAAAGCUCCAGUACACCAUUCUUAACUGUGAAAUUAGUACAUGUGUUUCUUCCACUUCUGUUUCCUUAUCCACAAUACAUUUAAAAGUUUGACAUGCAAAAGAGUUUGCCAUAAUCUUGACCUUAGAAUAUAUGACGCGUGUGUUUAUGCCAGGGUUGUGAAAAGCGAGAAGUGAAGCGUAGCGACCACUUACCCGCUUCUGUUAUAUGAAGCGACUCAGUUAGACAAAAGCGUGCGCUUCUUCUUCUUCAACAGAGAUUCAGCGGCAACAGGUAUGCAAUGAUUUCUUCCUUCUUUCUUUUCUUCUUCUUCUUCUUUCACUGUUUCAGCGUCCAAAUAGCAUUGAAAUGUCGGCGAAUUUUUUUUUUACCUUCGGUUCUUCUUUCUAAGUCUUCUCUUCUUCAUAUAAUGCUGAUCUUCUAACAUUCUUCUGCUGAUCUUAAUUUUCAAGUAUUUGCAUUACUUUUUAUGGUACACACUGAUAAGAUUGUGGCACGUCAUUAACUUAAAAAAAUUCAUUGUUCUUGCUAAAUCUAAUAGCCACUAUUUGUUAAAAUCUACUGGUGUGACAUACACUGAGGGCUUGUGAGAAACUUUAUAAAUCUAACCAUGUUCAAGUAUUGCUUGUUUCUGAGCCGUAGUAUGUUCAAUUGUUGGUUGUAAUGUUGUUUUUCGUAAUAGCAUAUUCUUCUGUUGUUUUGGUUCAAUAGCCGUCAGACUUAAUAUUGUUUAGGUGAUGUUGUUUUGUGAUGUAAUAAUGUUCGAAGAUGUUAAGGCAGAUUGUAUUACUUAAAAAAAAAAGACCGGAGAGUUGUUUGCUUUGGUUUGUCUGUUGCAGAUUCUGGUUUGUUGUAUGUUGCUUAAAGUAUAGCUACUCAUCUUGUGAUUUGUGGAUGGAUCUUAGGUUCUGCAUGAAAAUUGUAUCAUGUUUUGAGCAGGAUGAAAAAUUUGGAAUAGUCGUAUUUACAAAUGAUGUUUUGAGCAGGUUGAAAAUUUUGGGAUAGUCAUAUUUACAAAGGAAACUUUGCUGAAAAAUCAAAGAUUUUUGAGAGUUUGAAAAUUUUCGAGUUAUCAAAUUGGUCAUUCAAUUACUUUGUGAUUCAAUUAUCCUCAAAAUUUUGUUUAAUUAUUUCUCAUUAUCUUUUGUAGGUGCAACGAUUGCGGAUGAAAGCAGUGACGGAGACCUUAAUUGAGUAUUGUUGAUCGUUGUUAGACUUUCUAUUAUUAUGUUCAAGGAUAUUUUAGUUUUAGAACUUUUUGUAUGCAAACUCAUCUAUUUUGACUUUUGAAUUGUUGAUCAAACAAUGUAUUCAUAUUUUGUUUUUGUAUAUGGAUAAUGCUAGUUGGAUAUUUUAAUUUUAUUUCGUGGUUUAUAUAAGAUAUGGUGUAAACAAUUUCAUAGAAUAGGAAAAUAUUUCUCAUUUUGCUUCCAUAAAUAUCAGAAAUUAUAAUUUGUUGCAAUAGAGAAUAUAACCGUUCCGAUAGACCUAACAAAUAAUAAGAGCAGCCCCUAAUAGCCGUUACAAUAUGUUAUAAUAUCCGUUGCAAUAGGG
rnacentral:lncRNA from 1 species